CGCGCUGGUUGUGAGAUAGGCUUGUGUGUCACUCUGCUUUUCGGGAGGCGUAUUUGUGGCAGAGCGUGGCUAGUGUACAAUCUUCAUUCCCUGAACCUAACCCUGACUACCCUAAUCCGUGUGCAGGCGCCGGUGACACAGGGCUUAAUGUAGCGCCACACCCACCAAUCAUGCCGUGACAACAAGCGUGGUGCUGCCAAUCACGGAAAUGGAGCCGGCGUCCGUCAUGGGCGGGUGGCACGUGCUGGCCUUCGGGACUCGGCGGGGCAGCACGGAGGGCGUUGUGAGGUCCCACUGCGGUGCCUCUCAUCGUGUUCAGAGGCGAUUGAUCACGACAGACUGUCGUGGCUCGUGGCUCAUGUAACCGUCCAGUACUACUCAUCACCUUGGCGGCAGCAGCGGCGGCGGCGCGGGGUCAGUCUCGAUGGCGGCGGAGGCGGCGGCGGCGGCGGUGACGGCGCCAUCAUUCAAUCAUUAGGAAGAGGCCACCUCUGAGCCGCCCGGAUGGUUAUCACAGAAACCCGCCCGGAGCCGCAUGUCCCGCACACCUCCCAGCUAUUAUUAUUAUUAUUAUUAUUAUUAUUAUUAUUAUUAUUAUU